rnacentral:rRNA from 1 species
GUGGGGAAUAUUGGGCAAUGGGCGAAAGCCUGACCCAGCAACGCCGCGUGAAGGAAGAAGGUUUUCGGAUCGUAAACUUCUAUCCUUGGUGAAGAUAAUGACGGUAGCCAAGAAGGAAGCCCCGGCUAACUACGUGCCAGCAGCCGCGGUAAUACGUAGGGGGCAAGCGUUGUCCGGAAUGAUUGGGCGUAAAGGGCGCGUAGGCGGCCUGGUAAGUCUGGAGUGAAAGUCCUGCUUUUAAGGUGGGAAUUGCUUUGGAUACUGUCGGGCUUGAGUGCAGGAGAGGUAAGUGGAAUUCCCGGUGUAGCGGUGAAAUGCGUAGAGAUCGGGAGGAACACCAGUGGCGAAGGCGACUUACUGGACUGUAACUGACGCUGAGGCGCGAAAGUGUGGGGAGCAAACAGGAUUAGAUACCCUGGUAGUCC